rnacentral:pre_miRNA from 1 species
GGGUGGAGGCCGGAUCCUGGGCUGUGUCCCCGGCGCCCAGUGCUCCCGGGCCUGCGCUGUUGGGUUCGCGCUCCCAGCAGUGGAGCCGCCACCU